UGAAGUAAAAACUUGGAUUCAAACUUGGGAAUUUCUAUUUGGAUUCCAAAUGAAUUUAAUUUUAAAUAAAUACUAAUUUAAAACGACAAAAUACUUUAACUUAACUUACCAUAAUUUAUGAUGUUCGGCACUCUCCAAACACUGUUUUACAAACACUCAUUUCGAUGUACCCAAACUAAAAUUAAUCUUUAAAAACUUUGCCUUCUUUUACAAUUAAUUUUCGUUCAAUCAACACAAGUUUUUUUUUAAUUAAUUUUCUUCCAAUCAACAAACUCUUCACACAACCGUUGGUAGUUCCGUGUCUAAUGCCCAAAGACGGACAAAAGUGGAAACAAAAAAAACUCCAUUCAAUUUAUGGUCGCUGCAUUUCGAACGUUCGCUGGUGUGGUGGUGCUUUAUUUCUGCUUCCACUUCUACGACCACAUUGCAACCGAGCUAGGAUGUGGGACGCCAAUAGUACGGUUCAGUUACUGGCCGUCAUUUGAAAACCAAAGCGUACAGAACCUUCGCACAAUGGUUUUGUUCCACGUUCCAGC